GACGAACGCUGGCGGCGUGCUUAACACAUGCAAGUCGAACGGUAAGGCCCUUCGGGGUACACGAGUGGCGAACGGGUGAGUAACACGUGGGUGAUCUGCCCUGCACUUCGGGAUAAGCCUGGGAAACUGGGUCUAAUACCGGAUAGGACCACUGCCUGCAUGGGUGGUGGUGGAAAGCUUUUGCGGUGUGGGAUGGGCCCGCGGCCUAUCAGCUUGUUGGUGGGGUGAUGGCCUACCAAGGCGACGACGGGUAGCAGGCCUGAGAGGGUGACCGGCCGCACUGGGACUGAGGUACGGCCCAGACUCCUACGGGAGGCAGCAGUGGGGAAUAUUGCACAAUGGGCGCAAGCCUGAUGCAGCGACGCCGCGUGAGGGAUGAUGGCCUUCGGGUUGUAAACCUCUUUCAGCACCGACGAAGCGCAAGUGACGGUAGGUGCAGAAGAAGGACCGGCCAACUACGUGCCAGCCGCCGCCGUAA
rnacentral:rRNA from 1 species